CGCACAUUGCGCCCCUUGGUAUUCCGAGGGGCAUGCCUGUUCGAGCGUCAUUAUCACCCCUCAAACUUCGGUUUGGUGUUGGACUUAGUUAUACUUUCGGUACGACUGGUUUCAAAGAUAGUGACGGCGUCCGAGAAGGAACCGGUACGAGGAGUUUUUCAUUAAACAUGUACGCGGCAGGAUUCUCGGGCGGCGGUCUUUAUACUUAUAAUUAUACGAGUGUUGACCUCGGAUCAGGUAGGAAUACCCGCUGAACUUAA
rnacentral:misc_RNA from 1 species